UCCCCACAGUAUGGCGCAAUUGGUUAGCGCGCGGUACUUAUAAUGCCGAGGUUGUGAGUUCGAUCCUCACCUGGGGAA